GCCGCAGCUCCUUGCCGGUUCUCGUUUUUCUUUUAUUUUUUGACCUUUAAUUUCUGUCAGUGUGGCGCUCGGUGCCGUUCAAACAUUUAAAGCUCCAUUAGUUCAUGUAAUCGCUUGCUAUUUUUAAGAAUUUCGUUCUUCGGUUCCACUUAGUGCUCAUUUCUCGUUCACUGGGUGAAUCUCUCGGCCCUCGUGUGUCAAGCCUUGUGUUGCCGGGGACCCGCGCACCACACACUUAGCCAGACCAGGGACCCGGGACGGACCCGCAGUGCCGACGUGGGGCUAGGCGGCAAUGUCGAGCCACUCCGCUUGCGGGACAGCCUCUCCCAAGCGUGCGCUCACGGGACGGACCCGCAAGCCGCACGAGAGGCGCACUCCCACUGCAAGCGUCAUUCUAACACCCCGGCCACACGGGAGGCCCGAGCCACGCCAGCGAGCCAACGUUCAGUGUCAGA
rnacentral:lncRNA from 1 species